AGGCCUUGUGUUAAGACUGGUGAAGUGCCUGACAUAGAUUGCCAUCCAGAACACAAGCAAGCUGUGCCCAGAUUUCACCAUGAUGGCAGCUUUGCAACAGGAUUGAUGGCUGCGUUCAGACUCCAGAAAUAUGCAUAGCCUUGCUUUGAAGAGGGCCUGGCUUAGAAAGUGUUUCAUGGUCACUGGAAAAAAAUGAGGAAGAGGAGGGUGUGGCUGCCGCUUAAGAGGAUCUGGCCCUGCAAACAGGCACUAGCUUUUGGAGAUGCGGUCCUUCAUCAUGGCAAAACGAAGACUUCUUUUAGAAAUGGUUCCUUUCAGAGCGUGAUGCUCUGAGUUGAGGCCUUGCUGCUGCUGCAUCUGCUCUGGAGUCCCAGAGCCGUCAGUCCACCACUGCAGCUGCUGGUAGUGGAGCGAAUUUGAACUUCUGGUGCCUGCUACCUAACGCUGUGCCUUGGUCACAGUCUCUGUUUGGGAGCAGGGCCAUUGUCCCUUCUAAUUUGCUAACAUCCUUUCUGUGUAUUCUGUCUCUGUCACUUUUGUCAAAUGUAAGUGUAUAGAUCAUGGAAUGGUUAAAUAUAUCUCUCUGUAGGAAUACAUCUUUCUGGACAAAGGAAAUACGGAAUGAUCUGUGUGUGUGUGACCAUUUUGUUUACUAAAACUGAAAAGCAGCAGAAUACCGUUAAAGCUGAAUAUAUAAAUGUAGGCAUCCCUUCAAACUGUAAGAAAUUUAAUAGUGCAAGUGUGACAACUUUAAGGAAAGAAAAAGCUCAAAUGACUCCCAGGAAGACAGUUCAUGGAACACAAAUUCUAUGAAGUAUUGAAUUAAGGAUGGUGUUCUGGUUUUUUCAGCUAUAAAUUACACCUGCAACUGAUACAAAUAAUGUAGAAGCCUGUAUUAUCUGUCCAGAUAAAUACAGGAAUACUUUCAGUAGGUUCAUUGUUGUUCUAAAAUAUAAGGUCGAGGGAAUAAUGCGUCAAUAUCAUCCAUGUGAGGUUUUUUUUUUUUUCAGGAGGAGGGUUUGAAAUCGACUAGUGCUGUUACAGUGUGAUUCCAGCGAUAUUUUAGAUAGCUAAGCUAGAUAGCUCAAGCUAAGAUGCACCUUAUGUACCAUAUAUUUUACCUUUAAUGGGCUAAAGAGAAAGAUCAACUUGAGCUAUAAAACUGAAGUUGGCUGUGUAAAAUAGGUAUGAUACUAAUACUCAGCUCACAAACAGAUCCUGUCCCAGUGAAUUCUGUAUCUACAACUAUGUUGGAUUAAGUGUCUCUCUGUGUACUAAACAAUUGCAACUAUGUUAUGCAUAUGUUACCAUAAUGGAUACCCCUUUUUAUUUUCUUACAAUUUCUGCAAGUUUUGUAUCUUUACUAACAUUUUUGUCAAACCACCAAGGAAUUCUGUUGUAUGUAAUUUUUGUUCCCCUUACAAUUAACUUGGUGCAGGACUGUAGCACCCUGUUGUAAUUAAAAAACAGAUACUCCUAAUAUCGGAGAACUCAGUCACUGGACAACCCUUGACUACUUUAAAAGCCUUUAAGUAAUUUACAAUAUAAAGGUAUUUGAAUCCCCUUUUAGAGCUAAGAAAUUUUUAAAGUUUUCAUUACAGGUUGCAUCGUGUACGCUUGCUUACUUUUUGCAGUUUAUCAUUCUCUAAGAAUUAAC